CAGGCCUAACACAUGCAAGUCGAGCGCCCGGCAACGGGAGCGGCAGACGGGUGAGUAACGCGUGGGGAUCUGCCCGAUGGUACGGAAUAACUCUGGGAAACUGGAAUUAAUACCGUAUAAGCCCGCAAGGGGAAAGAUUUAUUGCCAUCGGAUGAACCCGCGUCAGAUUAGCUAGUUGGUGGGGUAAAGGCUCACCAAGGCGACGAUCUGUAGCUGGUCUGAGAGGAUGAUCAGCCACACUGGGACUGAGACACGGCCCAGACUCCUACGGGAGGCAGCAGUGGGGAAUAUUGGACAAUGGGCGCAAGCCUGAUCCAGCCAUGCCGCGUGAGUGAUGAAGGCCUUAGGGUUGUAAAGCUCUUUCGCCGGUGAAGAUAAUGACGGUAACCGGAGAAGAAGCCCCGGCUAACUUCGUGCCAGCAGCCGCGGUAAUACGAAGGGGGCAAGCGUUGCUCGGAAUCACUGGGCGUAAAGCGCACGUAGGCGGGUCGUUAAGUCAGAGGUGAAAGCCUGGAGCUCAACUCCAGAACUGCCUUUGAUACUGGCGACC
rnacentral:rRNA from 1 species